AGAAAGACCCAUUGCGAUUCAGCUAAUAAUGGAAACCCCAAACGCGACUUCAGCUGAGAGCUAAAAGCUCGAGUAACAAAUUUAUGAAACUGGAUAUUCUGGAACUGACGAGAGGAAAUUCCUUUCAAUUCGGUGCUCUGCAAUUCGUGAAGAUUCUCAUCUCUCUCUGGAUUGGAGUGAGAGACUUCGAGAGGAAAUUACUUAUUGAUUCUGUGAUCUCCUACUGGUUUACUCGAUAUGCUGCAAUUUUUUGUUUCCUCCUUUAGUUGAUGUAAAGAAAUUCUACAUUAUUAUCAGGCUUGUUUUUCUGGAUCCCCCUAUGGUUCUGCUUUAGCAUAAACAUAUAGCUAUAGGUGGUACAAGUACAAAUGCAAAAGGUUGUUUGUUUGCUCUUCAGCAUUUGUUUACUCCUAUAGUCAUUUAUUGUUUCUGAAAAAGCAGAGCUUGUUCUUGACCUGAAAUGAAUGAUUUUUAACAUUUAUUAGACAGAAUAUAUUGCAUAAUUGGUGUGUUUCAUACAGAUAAAAACAGAAAACAGGUUUGAAGAUUUUGUUUGUGUAUAUUCAGAGUCAGGUGUUUGAAUCUACCCUUACAAGCUCAAUGACAGAAAGAAUAUCACUUCGAAUAAUGAACAAGAUUAUGUCAAUGUUUCUCCAUUUUGGUUGUCUAUAAUACAAGUGCAGUAACCACUUCGCUGGUAAAGAGAACAGCAAAUUGACCGCAUUGAUAAUGCUCCAGGAAAGCUUAGAGCAACAGGGUCCUUUGUCAAUCACUUCCAGAUGUCUGCGAUGAGGCUUUAUAUGCUUGUUUGAUUGGGUGCCUGAUUAUUGAAGGAAAAGGUGGCAGAUUACCUCUUUCCAGAGAAUCUUCCUCAGCUAUUUUUCAUGUUUUUUGAGGUGGGAGGAAUAAAGAAGUGCAUUGCAAGGGAAGUAAGUGAGAUCUUGAGUAAUAACUACAGUGAAGAAAGCAUUUUUGCUAUAUAUGUUAAAAGUGUGAGAAUAAGUGUUGUGGAGAACUGCUGUCUAAAGUUUGAAAUUAUUGCCAGAAAAGUCUUUGCAUUUCUUCCUCAAGCUCCCCCUCUCUUUUCUUUUUCUUUUUCCUGUAAAAGAAUUAUUAAAACUCUUAAAACUUAGAGUUUGGUCAUAUGUUGAAGUUGAACUGCUACCCCAAGCCCCAGGGGGUUGGGUUCAGCCUGGGGUUUUGGAAUUUGAAUCUCUUUGGUGACAUCGGCCUAGGUAGCAACCUCUGGUUGUGGGCCAUUCCUAUGAAAUUCUACUCGUGUUAGAAAUGGGAUAUGCAUUUUCUUUUUCUUUAAAGAUUUGAACAUAGUACGGCUUUGCUGUAAUUAUUCAUAAAGU